GGGCCUAUAGCUCAGUUGGCAGAGCAUCGGACUUUUAAUCCGCGGGUCGCGGGUUCGAGCCCCGCUGGGCCCACCA
rnacentral:tRNA from 2 species